UACAGAGGGUGCGAGCGUUGUUCGGAAUUACUGGGCGUAAAGCGCGCGCAGGCGGCCCUUUAAGUCCGUCGGUCAAAUGCCGGGGCUCAACCCCGAGCGUGCCGAGGAUACUGGAGGGCUGGAGACACGUAGAGGCAAGCGGAAUUCCGGGUGUAGCGGUGGAAUGCGUAGAGAUCCGGAAGAACACCGGAGGCGAAGGCGGCUGCUGGGCGUGAUCGUGACGCUGAGGCGCGAAAGCGUGGGGAGCAG
rnacentral:rRNA from 1 species